UGGAUCAACGAUGACCAUUGAUGACGUAUGAGUCAUAUAUGAUGAAUACGUGUCUGGAACAUGGUCCAA